UGAACUGCAAAAAUGGUGAAUUGCUGUGUGGUUUGCAAAAAAAUCGUCAGUAAAGGCAGUGGGAAAUUCAUUCACUGAAUGCCCUGCUCGAAAAAGAUUGUGGAUGGACCAGUUAAAACUGAAAAUUACAAAAUCUUUCAAAUGGGUAUAUGUUUGCCCUGACCAUUUCUAUGAUGCAGAUUUCAUCCUUAUAUUAGGAACAAAAUGUUUGAAAACUGAAGCUAUUCAAUCCAGGAUUUCAUCGCCUGAUCCUGUUUCAGCUUCAGACAAAAGGCCUAUGACUCCCAGGACUCAUCAGAUGUUGGUAGAGUUGGGGAGUUCUCAAAACUGAGUGGUUCUGAAUUAUCGAAAACUUCAAAUACAUAAUGAUACCAAGCCUGAUAAGAAAAAUACAUUACAGAGUAAAAGCAUCGGGAAUAGACUUAUAUCCUAUUCCACUGGAAUAAAAAGGCAGCUGAAUAUGAAAUGAUGUGAUUCAUUGGCAGAUAAUGCAAACAAACUGUAGAGAAGAUAUUUUGAGGAAUGUUACCUUUUUCUUGCAUAAGAUCAAACUGAAUGAAAUGAUGCUGCAAGGUCAUUUAUUCUAUUUCAUAUUUAAAUACAACAAAAUAGUGGUGAUGAUUAUUUUGAGACUUAUGGAUUGUUAUUACAUUAUUUUCUUUCAAAAUUUCAAUGAUUAAUAUAAUAAUUUUUCUCUUGUAAUAGUGUGAUACCUCAUAUUCAAUUGUGCAAUAUGGUUGAAAACAGAAUAAAUACUCGAUUCAAAUUCAGCAAUGAAUUUAGUAAUGUUCAACGAAAUAAAAGAAUUAUGCUUUCUAAUCAGUCCCUAUUGUUACUAAUAUUGCAUAUAAAUGUUGAGCUACAUGAUUAUUGUGAUAUGUUUUUAUAGAGCUAGUAUUAAGUUUUCAAUCAUUUAAUAGAACAUUAAAAUUUAAGUAUAAUUUUAAUCAAGAUGCAUUAUUUAUUUUGAGAAUUGUCUAAUACCGGGCAUCAGAUUUCCUCUGAAAAUUCACUUUCAUUACUUCUUACACUUGUGGCAGUCGGCUUUGUUUCACCCACAUUGAAAGUUUGGCAUAUUAAAGUAACGCCACUGACAUUGCCCUGUUUCCAAAUCGCAUAUCUUAUCUAUGUUUACUCAUAUAAUUUUUAUUUCUAGGUAUAAUUUGGGAAGAGUUCUAAAGGCACUGGGAGAAUACGACAAAGCAAGUAGUGCAAUGGCGACGGCGCUUAUUAUGGAAGAAAAAUCCAAUCCAAUUCCUUUAUGUUUAGAAUGAAUACUUAAAAUACAAAAGAUAACUCCUAUUUAAAAAUAAAUUAAAUUUUUAUUUUAAGUGACUUUGACUUUGAUUAUCUUUAUUUUGAACCUGAUAGAUUUUACUCAAUAACAUCCAUUAUAUUGAAAAAUGUUAAUCUUUAUUCACAUAUUAUAUAAAUUGAUAUCUAUAUUAUAUGACAUGUAAUGAUAAAUUUCAUUGUCUGAAUGAAAUAUAAUUGUUGAACAGAA